UACAGAGGGUGCAAGCGUUAAUCGGAAUUACUGGGCGUAAAGCGCGCGUAGGUGGUUUGUUAAGUUGGAUGUGAAAGCCCCGGGCUCAACCUGGGAACUGCUUUCAAAACUGCUGAGCUAGAGUACGGUAGAGGGUGGUGGAAUUUCCUGUGUAGCGGUGAAAUGCGUAGAUAUAGGAAGGAACACCAGUGGCGAAGGCGACCACCUGGACUGAUACUGACACUGAGGUGCGAAAGCGUGGGGAGCAAACAGG
rnacentral:rRNA from 1 species